AGCAUAUCAAUAAGCGGAGGAAAAGAAACCAACAGGGAUUCCCCUAGUAACGGCGAGUGAAGCGGGAACAGCUCAAAUUUGAAAUCUGGCCCUUGGGUCCGAGUUGUAAUUUGCAGAGGAUGCUUUUGGUGCGGUGCCUUCCGAGUUCCCUGGAACGGGACGCCUUAGAGGGUGAGAGCCCCGUACGGUUGGCCACCAAGCCUGUGUAAAGCUCCUUCGACGAGUCGAGUAGUUUGGGAAUGCUGCUCAAAAUGGGAGGUAUAUUUCUUCUAAAGCUAAAUACUGGCCAGAGACCGAUAGCGCACAAGUAGAGUGAUCGAAAGAUGAAAAGCACUUUGAAAAGAGGGUUAAAUAGCACGUGAAAUUGUUGAAAGGGAAGGAUUUAUGACCAGACUUUUUCUGGGGGGAUCAUCCGGUGUUCUCACCGGUGCACUUCCCCCAGUUGAGGCCAGCAUCGGUUUCUGCCGGGGGAUAAAAGCUUUGGGAAUGUGGCUCCUUCGGGAGUGUUAUAGCCCGUUGCAUAAUACCCUGGCGGGGACCGAGGUUCGCGCAUUGCAAGGAUGCUGGCGUAAUGGUUAUUAAUCACCCGUCUUGAAACACGGACCAAGGAGUCGAACAUUUGUGCGAGUGUUUGGGUGUUAAACCCUCACGCGUAAUGAAAGUGAACGGAGGUGAGAGCCUUUAGGGGUGCAUCAUCGACCGAUCCUGAUGUCUUCGGAUGGAUUUGAGUAAGAGCAUAACUGUUCGGACCCGAAAGAUGGUGAACUAUGCGUGGAUAGGGUGAAGCCAGAGGAAACUCUGGUGGAGGCUCGCAGCGGUUCUGACGUGCAAAUCGAUCGUCAAAUCUGCGCAUGGGGGCGAAAGACUAAUCGAACCAUCUAGUAGCUGGUUACCGCCGA
rnacentral:rRNA from 2 species